GGCGAGAGACCGAUAGCGAACAAGUACCGUGAGGGAAAGAUGAAAAGAACUUUGAAAAGAGAGUUAAACAGUACGUGAAAUUGUUGAAAGGGAAACGAUUGAAGCCAGUCGUACCUUCGGGUAAUCAGCCUUUCGGGUGCGAUUCUGUGGAGUGUGAGGAGCUUAACACCUUCAUGCUUUGCAUAUUUGUGCUCUUGGGUGUACUUGCUCGUGUGGUUGGUUAACAUCAAUUUUGAUUAUCAUAAAAUGAUUGGAGGAAUGUAGCUUCGAUCUCGUAUUGAAGUGUUAUAGCCUUCGGUAGAUGUGAUGAUCGAGAUUGAGGAUUGCAACGGAUACCCUUCGGGGCUACCUGUCUGGUCUCUGAUCGUUGCUCUGGUGCCGAAAGCGUGCUUACGGUUAUCAAAGUCGAUGGUCAAUAGGUUAGAACGGGUUAAA
rnacentral:rRNA from 1 species